UGGCUCAGAACGAACGCUGGCGGCAGGCUUAACACAUGCAAGUCGAACGCUCGUAGCAAUACGGGAGUGGCAGACGGGUGAGUAACGCGUGGGAACAUACCCUCCGGUUCGGAAUAGCUCAGGGAAACUUGGAUUAAUACCGGAUACGGCUGAGAGGCGAAAGAUUUAUCGCCGGAGGAUUGGCCCGCGUUCGAUUAGCUUGUUGGUGAGGUAACGGCUCAGCGAAGACGAUGAUCGAUAGCUGGUCUGAGAGGAUGAUCAGCCACAUUGUUGUCUGAGACACGGACCAAACUCCUACUGAUGGCAGCAGUGG
rnacentral:rRNA from 2 species